UACGAAGGGGGCUAGCGUUGCUCGGAAUUACUGGGCGUAAAGCGCACGUAGGCGGCUUUCUAAGUCGGGGGUGAAAUCCUGGAGCUCAACUCCAGAACUGCCUUCGAUACUGGAAAGCUCGAGUCCGGGAGAGGUGAGUGGAACUGCGAGUGUAGAGGUGAAAUUCGUAGAUAUCAGGAGGAACACCAACGGCGAAGGCAGCUCGCCGGGACGGUACUGACGCUGAGGCGCGAAAGCGUGGGGAGCGAACAGG
rnacentral:rRNA from 1 species